UACGGAGGGUGCAAGCGUUAUCCGGAUUCACUGGGUUUAAAGGGUGCGUAGGUGGGCAGGUAAGUCAGUGGUGAAACCCUGUAGCUUAACUACAGAACUGCCAUUGAUACUAUCUGUCUUGAAUACCCUGGAGGUGAGCGGAAUAUGUCAUGUAGCGGUGAAAUGCUUAGAUAUGACAUAGAACACCCAUUGCGAAGGCAGCUCACUACGGGAAUAUUGACACUGAGGCACGAAAGCGUGGGGAUCAAACAGG
rnacentral:rRNA from 1 species